AUUGAACGCUGGCGGAAUGCUUUACACAUGCAAGUCGAACGGCAGCACGGGUGCUUGCACCUGGUGGCGAGUGGCGAACGGGUGAGUAAUGCACCGGAACGUAUCCAAUAAUGGGGGAUAACGCACCGAAAGGUGUGCUAAUACCGCAUACGCCCUGAGGGGGAAAGCGGGGGAUCGUAAGACCUCGCGUUAAUGGAGCGGCCGAUGCCGGAUUAGCUAGUUGGUGAGGUAAAGGCUCACCAAGGCGACGAUCCGUAGCUGGUCUGAGAGGACGACCAGCCACACUGGAACUGAGACACGGUCCAGACUCCUACGGGAGGCAGCAGUGGGGAAUUUUGGACAAUGGGCGCAAGCCUGAUCCAGCCAUGCCGCGUGAGUGAAGAAGGCCUUCGGGUUGUAAA
rnacentral:rRNA from 1 species